rnacentral:rRNA from 1 species
AGCAGCCGCGGUAAUUCCAGCUCCAAUAGCGUAUAUUAAAGUUGCUGCAGUUAAAAAGCUCGUAGUUGAAUUUCGGGACCAUCAUGUCGGUCGUGCCUCGGUACGUACUGGCAUUGUUGGUUUCUACCUUCUGACGAACCAUGAUGUCAUUAAUUUGGUGUUAUGGGGAGUUAGGACUGUUACUUUGAAAAAAUUAGAGUGUUUAAAGCAGGCUUUAGCUUGAAUACAUUAGCAUGGAAUAAUGAAAUAGGACGUUCGAACCUAUUUUGUUGGUUUCUAGGAUCAACGUAAUGAUUAAUAGGGAUAGUUGGGGGCAUUAGUAUUCAAUUGUCAGAGGUGAAAUUCUUGGAUUUAUUGAAGACUAACUACUGCGAAAGCAUUUGCCAAGGAUGUUUUCAUUAAUCAAGAACGAAAGUUAGGGGAUCGAAGACGAUCAGAUACCGUCGUAGUCUUAACCAUAAACUAUGCCGACUAGGGAUCGGAUGAUGUUAAUUUAAUGACUCA